AUGGUAACAGGAAACAGCUUGCUGUUUCGCUGACGAGUGGCGGACGCGGUGAGUAAUGUCUGGGAAACUGCCUGAUGGAGGGGGAUAACUACUGGAAACGGUAGCUAAUACCGCAUAACGUCGCAAGACCAAAGAGGGGGACCUUCGGGCCUCUUGCCAUCAGAUGUGCCCAGAUGGGAUUAGCUAGUAGGUGGGGUAACGGCUCACCUAGGCGACGAUCCCUAGCUGGUCUGAGAGGAUGACCAGCCACACUGGAACUGAGACACGGUCCAGACUCCUACGGGAGGCAGCAGUGGGGAAUAUUGCACAAUGGGCGCAAGCCUGAUGCAGCCAUGCCGCGUGUAUGAAGAAGGCCUUCGGGUUGUAAAGUACUUUCAGCGGGGAGGAAGGGAGUAAAGUUAAUACCUUUGCUCAUUGACGUUACCCGCAGAAGAAGCACCGGCUAACUCCGUGCCAGCAGCCGCGGUAAUACGGAGGGUGCAAGCGUUAAUCGGAAUUACUGGGCGUAAAGCGCACGCAGGCGGUUUGUUAAGUCAGAUGUGAAAUCCCCGGGCUCAACCUGGGAACUGCAUCUGAUACUGGCAAGCUUGAGUCUCGUAGAGGGGGGUAGAAUUCCAGGUGUAGCGGUGAAAUGCGUAGAGAUCUGGAGGAAU
rnacentral:rRNA from 1 species